rnacentral:lncRNA from 1 species
UACUGUAGGAGGUGGGCUUGAGAGGAGUGGGAACUUGCCAGAUGAAAAGCGGGAAAGAAAUGCGCAAAGGCGGAUACCUGUGCAAAGGUCUGGUCCCAAAGGAAUGUGUAUUUGGCAAAAAAACUGACAAGAAUUAUCCUGAAAUGAGUGGUUGGUGCUUUAUAGUUGUGCCAUUAUUUGUAGGUUUCCUUUUGACUUUUUUCAGAAUUCUCUUCAAUACUGUUGCUCUCUUGUUUCUGUGACUCCAAAUAAAAUGAAAGGAAAGCCUGUGACAGUUGCAUCAGAGCAUUAGAGUGAUUACUUUAUUUCUUGCUGUCCCUGUUUGUACCUGACAUCCGAUUAAAACACUCUUGUUGCCCAUCUGACUAAGCUGUUACUGGGUUGUUCAGAGAGGACAUUUGGUUCCUUUUGUGAGAAACAGACCCCAGGUUUCCUUUUCCCUCUGGUUUUCAUUGACGGGCUGCCUCUGGCCCCUGGAGCAGCCUGUGGGCUUGUCUCUGCUGGAGUUUGAGGAGCAAAGCUGUCUUGGGGGGGUGGGUGACUUUAGUCAGAGGGACAGCAGGCCUGGGGAAUGGGGCAGAGAUGUGGCAGGUGGAGGCGGCUGUACAGGAGGUAGAGUUUGUGGAUGUUUGGCUGGUGGAAGAAGGUCCUUUUGAUGUGGGAAGCCAGUCAAAGGCACCGUGCUGGCCAGACCCUGGGCGUUGGCAGUUUUCCCAGAGUGAGGUUGAAUAGACGUCUCAGUGGACUGUCCACCCAAGGUCACUGCUGACUCAGGAGGCCUCUGCGCAAAGAUGUCUCCUUUCUGAAGGAAAAUUGUCUAAAAAAAGAUUUUUAAUUGGUUCAUAUUUGAAUCUUCACGCUGUUUUGGUUUUCGAAUGGACACAGUGUAUGGGGCAGGCUCUUAAGAUCUGAACUUUUGUCUAAUAAUUGCAUCUGGGUCCAGCCCAAACUUAGAUCCCAUGUCCCCCAGUCAGCUUUUCUUUUAAUCUUACUUUUCAUCUUUAAAAAUGAAAACCUCAACUUUGCACGACAGCAGAUUUGUCUUUUUUUUUCUCCAACGACAGAAGGCAAACGUAGUUUUACAUCUGAAGCUGAGUAGUUGGAGCAAUGAGAGUGUGAGGCCUGGACCAUGACACGUGACUUAGCAUUUGUGUUAUUAACUGAGUUGUGAAUGUUUGAAAAUGCCUUUCAUAGUGAUACCAAGGGAGUUCCCAUCGUGGCUCAGUAGUUAUCGAAUCCAACUAGGAACCAUGAGGUUGUGGGUUCAAUCCCUGGCCUCACUCAGUGGAUUAAGGAUCUGGCAUUGCCGUGACCUGUGGUGUAGGUUGCACAUGUGACUCGGAUCCCGAGUUGCUGUGGCUCUGGCGUAGGCCAGUGCCUACAGCUCCUAUUAGACCUCUAGCCUGGGAACCUCCAUGUGCCAUGGGUGCAGGCCUAGAAAAAGACAAAAAAAAAAAAAAAAAAAAAAAAAAAAAGAGUGAUGUUAAAAGAAAUGGUGGUAAAAAAUUUGGAAUUAUUUCAGAACAAUAGCCUUUGCUGGAGAUAGGCUCACGGCCUCUGGUUUUUCAGAGAUGGCUUAAACAGUUCUGUAUUUAAUUUCCACAAAUCAUCUUACAUUAUUAGUAAGCAGCCAGGUAUGCAGGAUCAGAUAUGCAGCUGCACCAGAUUUUCCCUGGUUGUCAGGGCCUGCUCUGGCAGCUCCAGAGAUCAGCUGUCACCUCUGCUAAGAGCCCUGCAUACGUUUCUGUCUGUUUACAGUGCUGUUACAACACACACAUCACUGCAUGCGUGAUUAAAGGAGUCUUGUCAGAUAAUCACUGAUUAUCAAGAGUGGCUCCCACUUUUAAGGACCCUCCUUUGAACCGGUAGAUGGUGGUGACCUGCCAGCUCAUUAGUAAGGUCAGUUUUCUGGAAGAUAUAGUUACAAAAUAAAGGCUGCGCUCUCAUCAACAGAUAGCUUCAGUGGCAAAGUGAAAGGUGACGAGACUUGAAAUAUUUAUGACCUUUAAAGCCUUCUGUGACCAGCAACCAGGAUACCACCUUUAUUAGCACAGACAAACGAUCUGUUUAGACCAGGACACUCUUCUCUCUAAAAACAAAAUUCUUAAACUGUCUCAUUUCUCCAGCCACAUUGUAUCUAUACCCUCAUUUUUUCUUGUCCCAGUUGUCUUAUUAUCAUAGAUUAACUUAAACAUCUGCAUGUCUUCUGUUCAUACUUUCAUAUCAACUCCACUUUAUACUUUGUAAUAUUCUGCUUGAGAUCCACCAGGGUGGUGUAUGGAGAAUGUAUCACCUGGAGUUUUAUUUUUAAUGAUCCGAGCACCUAUACAGCAUGACUGCCAGAAAUGCAAAGAUCUCCUUGAGGGAGAAUGCUCAGUUAAGAGGGCUGAUUAAUUUUCUGACCAAAGUAUUUUUUGAGUCCUGCUUUGUUCAUUCAACUGUAGGAGGUACGUAUUUAAUGUGUAAGUUAAUUAAUAUUUGAGGUUGAUAAAAAUGACAUCAUGAAAAGUUAAAUAAUAUAUUAACUGAAAGACUCAGAAUAAGAGAUAGCAGGAUGCAGAGUCAAAUCAAUGCCAUGAAGUCGUUGAGGAGAAAUAUCCUUGUCGUUAGAAUGGUCAGAGGCUUUGGGAGACUCUGGGACUUUCGUUCAUUUAUUCACCAUGUGGUACUGGGAAAACUGGACAGCUACAUGCAAAAGAAUGAAAUUAGAACGUUCUCUAACACGAUAUACAAAAAUAAACUCAAAGUGGGUUGAAGGGAGUUCUCUUGUGGCUCAGUGGUUUAAGGAUCCGGCAUUAUGCCUGCAGCAGCUCAGGUCACUGCUGUGGUAUGGGUUUGAUCUCUGCCGCAUAGUGGAUCCACAGGUGUGGCAAAAAAAAAAAAAAAAAAGGCUAAAGACCUAAAUGGAGGAGCCAGAUACUCUACAACUCCUAGAGGGAAACAGACAGAACACUCCUGGCCAUAAACUGCAGCAGUACUUUUUUUUGGGGGGGUCCAUCUCCCAAAGUAAAGGAAGUAAAAAUAAAAACAAGCAAAUGGAACCUAAUUAAACUUAAAGGCUUUUGCACAGCAAAGGAAACCAUUGACAAAAUGAAAAGACAACCUAUAGAAUGGCAGAAAAUACUUGCAGAUGAUAUGCCCUAUGAGGGAUUAAUAUCCAGUGUAUAUAAACAGCUCAUACAACUCAAUAUCAAAACAAACAAAAGCCAGUCAAAAAAAUGGACAGAGAAACCGAAUAGAUUUUUUUUCCAAAGAGGAAACGCAGAUGACCAGCAGGUACAUGAAAAGGUACUCAACAUCGCUAAUCAUCAGGGAAAUGCAAAUCAAAUCACAAUAAGAUAGCACCUCACAUCUGUCAGAAUGGCCAUCAUCAAAAAGAACACACAUAACAAAUACCGGCGAGGACGUGGAAAAAAGCUGUUGGUGGGAGUGUAAAUAAAUGCAGCCACUGUGGAAAACAAUAUGCAGGUUUCUCAAAACAUUAAACCACCGUGUGACUUAGCAGUUCCACUCCGGGGUAUACAUC